AUUGAACGCUGGCGGCAGGCUUAACACAUGCAAGUCGAGCGGGGUGAUGGUGCUUGCACUAUCACUUAGCGGCGGACGGGUGAGUAAUGCUUAGGAAUCUGCCUAUUAGUGGGGGACAACAUCUCGAAAGGGAUGCUAAUACCGCAUACGUCCUACGGGAGAAAGCAGGGGAUCACUUGUGACCUUGCGCUAAUAGGUGAGCCUAAGUCGGAUUAGCUAGUUGGUGGGGUAAAGGCCUACCAAGGCGACGAUCUGUAGCGGGUCUGAGAGGAUGAUCCGCCACACGGGGAGUGAGACACGGCCCAGACUCCAACGGGAGGCAGCAGUGGGGAAUAUUGGACAAUGGGGGGAACCCUGAUCCAGCCAUGCCGCGUGUGUGAAGAAGGCCUUAUGGUUGUAAAGCACUUUAAGCGAGGAGGAGGCUCUUUUGGUUAAUACCCAAGAUGAGUGGACGUUACUCGCAGAAUAAGCACCGGCUAACUCUGUGCCAGCCGCCGCCGUAA
rnacentral:rRNA from 1 species